rnacentral:rRNA from 1 species
UACGUAGGGUCCGAGCGUUGUCCGGAAUUACUGGGCGUAAAGAGCUCGUAGGUGGUUUGUCGCGUUGUUCGUGAAAACUCACAGCUCAACUGUGGGCGUGCGGGCGAUACGGGCAGACUGGAGUACUGCAGGGGAGACUGGAAUUCCUGGUGUAGCGGUGGAAUGCGCAGAUAUCGGGAGGAACACCUGUGGCGAAGGCGGCCCCCUGGUUGGAUACUGACGCUGAUACGCGAAAGCGUGGGGAGCAAACAGG